GGUCCCGUGCGGCUCAGUUGGUAGAGCAUGGUGUUUGCAACACCAGAGUUGUGGGUUCGAUUCCCACGGGGGACCA
rnacentral:tRNA from 1 species